rnacentral:pre_miRNA from 1 species
UUUCUACUCCCUCCAUCCGAAAAUACUUGUGAUCAAAAUGGAUAAAAAGAGAUUUAUCUAAAACUAGAAUACGUCUAGAUACAUUUCCUUUUAUCCAUUUUGAUGACAAUUAUUUCCGGACGGAGGGAGUAUUUG